rnacentral:lncRNA from 1 species
GGUGAUGAAGUGAUCCUAUCCUCAGUCCUCUCUCUCGGUGACCUUCAACUUCCACUGAGGACGGUGAAUGAGUCGGGGACAAAUUUACGAUACUGUUAGAAGCUUCAUUUGGAUCGAUUACAGAUAUGUCAAAGAAAUGUGAAAACGACAACGCUGAUUGUAACAGUUGGGGACAAAUUGAUCGAAGGAUCACGACUGGCGUUUGCGUUAUGGAAAAGAAUGCGGCCUGGAGGCUCUGUUCCUUUUGCUUUUGAUUGUAUUCUGUAUGAAUCUGUUAGGUAG